rnacentral:RNase_P_RNA from 1 species
AGAGGAGACUGGGUGAUCGCUCGGCAUCUUGUGUGCCGGGAGGAAAGUCCGGACUCCAUGGGCGGGGCGCUGGGUAACUCCCAGGCGGAGCAAUCCGACACCUGCACCACAGAAAACAAACCGCCGAUGGCCAAAGCGACGGGAUCCCUUCUAGUCGCAGCGGAUCAGGUAAGGGUGAAACGGCGGGGUAAGAGCCCACCGCAGGGAUGGUGACA